AGCAGACUUCCCUCGCUUGAGUUUCUGAAGAAUGUUCCAUAUCGCGCUAAGCUCAUCACUGCUGAUUAUGACAGGCGUGCAGCGGCACACAUUGACAUAGACCACUGUUGCAAUCAACGACACAGUCGCUAUCCAAGUAGCAUUAUAGAGCUGUCAUGCAACGCAACAACUGUGCUAUCUGCCAUCGCACAUCAACGAAGAAGUGCAGCCGCCCACAUUCCACCUCACGUCUGUCCAACCAGCUGCAAUCCUCGAGGACGCCCCACUGUACCACGAUUUCACUACGAUGUUUGACAAGAAGGAGCAGUGCGCGAGAUAGGCUAAUGAGCAGACUUCCCUCGCUUGAGUUUCGGAAGAAUGUUCCAUAUCGCGCUAAGCUGACCACUGCUGACCAUGACAGGCGUGCAUUGGGCUGGUACAGGUUGGAACUGAACAUUGAAUAUGCUGGUGGUGACGCUUUCUGAUGAGAAGUUGGUCGUGACUGAUGCAGUAUCCUUGGACUUGUCCACAGCAUCGUUCAAUCAUUGCUCUCUGAGCUGCCUUGAUUCUGUACCCAAAUACUAAGACCAAAUGCCUGUUGACUGUGCUUUAAGAGAGACUGGCGCCAUGCCUAGAGAUAUGACUGACCCCUAUUGGCAAAUUUGUAUGACUUUAUCUCGCCUACCUAGCUGCUGCCUAUAGUCUCCCUUUAACUGCGGAACACUUCAAAGUCGAUAAAA